AUUGAACACUGGCGGCAGGCUUAACACAUGCCAGUCGAGCGGUAGCACAGGGGAGCUUGCUCCCUGGGUGACGAGCGGCGGACGGGUGAGUAAUGUCUGGGAAACUGCCUGAUGGAGGGGGAUAACUACUGGAAACGGUAGCUAAUAUCGCAUAACGUCGCAAGACCAAAGAGGGGGACCUUCGGGCCUCUUGCCAUCAGAUGUGCCCAGAUGGGAUUAGCUAGUAGGUGGGGUAAUGGCUCACCUAGGCGACGAUCCCUAGCUGGUCUGAGAGGAUGACCAGCCACACUGGAACUGAGACACGGUCCAGACUCCUACGGGAGGCAGCAGUGGGGAAUAUUGCACAAUGGGCGCAAGCCUGAUGCAGCCAUGCCGCGUGUGUGAAGAAGGCCUUCGGGUUGUAAAGCACUUUCAGCGAGGAGGAAGGUGGUGAGCUUAAUACGUUCAUCAAUUGACGUUACUCGCAGAAGAAGCACCGGCUAACUCCGUG
rnacentral:rRNA from 1 species